rnacentral:rRNA from 2 species
UCUCCUGGAAAACGGGUGGUAAUGCCGGAUGUUCCACAUGAUCGCAUGUGAUUGUGGGAAAGAUUCUAUCGGCGUGGGAUGGGGUCGCGUCCUAUCAGCUUGUUGGUGAGGUAACGGCUCACCAAGGCUUCGACGGGUAGCCGGCCUGAGAGGGCGACCGGCCACAUUGGGACUGAGAUACGGCCCAGACUCCUACGGGAGGCAGCAGUGGGGAAUAUUGCACAAUGGGCGCAAGCCUGAUGCAGCGACGCCGCGUGAGGGAUGGAGGCCUUCGGGUUGUAAACCUCUUUUGUUUGGGAGCAAGCCUUCGGGUGAGUGUACCUUUCGAAUAAGCGCCGGCUAACUACGUGCCAGCAGCCGCGGUAAUACGUAGGGCGCAAGCGUUAUCCGGAUUUAUUGGGCGUAAAGGGCUCGUAGGCGGCUCGUCGCGUCCGGUGUGAAAGUCCAUCGCUUAACGGUGGAUCUGCGCCGGGUACGGGCGGGCUGGAGUGCGGUAGGGGAGACUGGAAUUCCCGGUGUAACGGUGGAAUGUGUAGAUAUCGGAAAGAACA